rnacentral:rRNA from 1 species
AAAACAUGUCUUUUUGCUUUAAAAAGGGUCAAACCUGCACACUGAGUUAUUAAAGAGCUGCAGUAUUCUAACUGUAUUAAAGUAGCAUAGUAAUUUGUUUUUUAAUUGGGGACUUGAAUGAAAGGUUUGAUGUUUAUAGGCUGUCUUUUUUAAAAAGGUGAAAUUAAUUUUUAGUUAAAACUCUAAGAUGAGCUUGUGGGACGAUAAGACCCUAUAAAAUUUAUAUUGUAUUUAUAUUAGAUUGGAAAAUAUUUGACACAACAAUUUAACUGGGGCGGUUAAUAUAUAGAAUAUCUGUAAAAUUAUAUCAACAUAUAAUUUAUGGUUUUUUUGACCCUUUAAAGAUUGGUAGAUUUAAUUACUUUAGGGAUAACAGCGUAAUUCCUUUUAGAGUUCUUAUCGAGUAGGGAGUUUGCGACCUCGAUGUUGAAUUAAGACACCUUUACAAGCGCAGAAGCCAUAUUAGGAAAUCUGUUCGAUUUAUAUGUUCUUACAUGAUCUGAGUUC